GGUCAAGUGAAGAAGCGCAUACGGUGGAUGCCUUGGCAGUCAGAGGCGAUGAAAGACGUGGUAGCCUGCGAAAAGCUUCGGGGAGUCGGCAAACAGACUGUGAUCCGGAGAUGUCUGAAUGGGGGAACCCAGCCAUCACAAGAUGGUUAUCUUACACUGAAUACAUAGGUGUAAGAGGCGAACCAGGGGAACUGAAACAUCUAAGUACCCUGAGGAAAAGAAAUCAACCGAGAUUCCCUUAGUAGUGGCGAGCGAACGGGGACCAGCCCUUAAGUUGUAUUGAGAUUAGCGGAACGCUCUGGAAAGUGCGGCCAUAGUGGGUGAUAGCCCUGUACGCGAAAAUCCCUUUGCAAUGAAAUCGAGUAGGACGGGGCACGAGAAACCUUGUCUGAAUAUGGGGGGACCAUCCUCCAAGGCUAAAUACUACUGACUGACCGAUAGUGAACCAGUACCGUGAGGGAAAGGCGAAAAGAACCGCGGAGAGCGGAGUGAAAUAGAUCCUGAAACCGUAUGCGUACAAGCAGUGGGAGCCCACUUUGUUGGGUGACUGCGUACCUUUUGUAUAAUGGGUCAGCGACUUAUUUUCAGUGGCGAGCUUAACCGAAUAGGGGAGGCGUAGCGAAAGCGAGUCUUAAUAGGGCGUCUAGUCGCUGGGAAUAGACCCGAAACCGGGCGAUCUAUCCAUGGGCAGGUUGAAGGUUGGGUAACACUAACUGGAGGACCGAACCGACUACCGUUGAAAAGUUAGCGGAUGACCUGUGGAUCGGAGUGAAAGGCUAAUCAAGCUCGGAGAUAGCUGGUUCUCCUCGAAAGCUAUUUAGGUAGCGCCUCAUGUAUCACUGUAGGGGGUAGAGCACUGUUUCGGCUAGGGGGUCAUCCCGACUUACCAAACCGAUGCAAACUCCGAAUACCUACAAGUGCCGAGCAUGGGAGACACACGGCGGGUGCUAACGUCCGUCGUGAAAAGGGAAACAACCCAGACCGUCAGCUAAGGUCCCAAAGUCAUGGUUAAGUGGGAAACGAUGUGGGAAGGCUUAGACAGCUAGGAGGUUGGCUUAGAAGCAGCCACCCUUUAAAGAAAGCGUAAUAGCUCACUAGUCGAGUCGGCCUGCGCGGAAGAUGUAACGGGGCUCAAACCAUGCACCGAAGCUACGGGUAUCACCUUUGGUGAUGCGGUAGAGGAGCGUUCUGUAAGCCUGUGAAGGUGAGUUGAGAAGCUUGCUGGAGGUAUCAGAAGUGCGAAUGCUGACAUGAGUAACGACAAUGGGUGUGAAAAACACCCACGCCGAAAGACCAAGGUUUCCUGCGCAACGUUAAUCGACGCAGGGUUAGUCGGUCCCUAAGGCGAGGCUGAAAAGCGUAGUCGAUGGAAAACAGGUUAAUAUUCCUGUACUUCUGGUUAUUGCGAUGGAGGGACGGAGAAGGCUAGGCCAGCCUGGCGUUGGUAGUCCAGGUUUAAGGUGGUAGGCUGAGAUCUUAGGUAAAUCCGGGAUCUUAAGGCCGAGAGCUGAUGACGAGUGUUCUUUUAGAACAUGAAGUGGUUGAUGCCAUGCUUCCAAGAAAAGCUUCUAAGCUUCAGGUAACCAGGAACCGUACCCCAAACCGACACAGGUGGUUGGGUAGAGAAUACCAAGGCGCUUGAGAGAACUCGGGUGAAGGAACUAGGCAAAAUGGCACCGUAACUUCGGGAGAAGGUGCGCCGGUGAGGGUGAAGCAUUUACUGCGUAAGCCCACGCCGGUCGAAGAUACCAGGCCGCUGCGACUGUUUAUUAAAAACACAGCACUCUGCAAACACGAAAGUGGACGUAUAGGGUGUGACGCCUGCCCGGUGCCGGAAGGUUAAUUGAUGGGGUUAGCGCAAGCAAAGCUCUUGAUCGAAGCCCCGGUAAACGGCUGCCGAAACUAUAACGGUCCUAAGUUAGCGAAAUUCCUUGUCGGGUAAGUUCCGCCCUGCGCGAAAG
rnacentral:rRNA from 1 species